rnacentral:rRNA from 1 species
GCCAGCCCGCUCAAGAAACUCAAAUGAAUUGACGGGGGCCCGCACAAGCGGAGGAGCAUGUGGUUUAAUUCGAUGAUACGCGAGGAACCUUACCUGGGCUCGAACGUAAGAUGACUGUAGGUGAAAGCUUACAUCUCUUCGGAGCAUUUUACGAGGUGCUGCAUGGUUGUCGUCAGCUCGUGCCGUGAGGUGUCGGGUUAAGUCCCAUAACGAGCGCAACCCUACCUUUAGUUGCCAUCAGGUUAAGCUGGGGACUCUAAAGGAACUGCCUACGCAAGUAGUGAGGAAGGCGGGGAUGACGUCAAAUCAGCACGGCCCUUACGUCCAGGGCUACACACGUGCUACAAUGGCCGAUACAGAGGGCAGCUACCUGGUGACAGGAUGCAAAUCUCCAAAGUCGGUCUCAGUUCGGAUCGGAGUCUGCAACCCGACUCCGUGAAGUUGGAUUCGCUAGUAAUCGCGCAUCAGCCAUGGCGCGGUGAAUACGUUCCCGGGCCUU